rnacentral:lncRNA from 1 species
AAAAGUUUGAGGGCAUUUCAGUCAUUUCUUAGUAUCAAUGUACGUGCCCUUUUGUGCUAUUCCAGAUAUAGAUGGAGGUUUUUUGCUAUUACCACUUGUAUCUUUUCUUUCUCUCAAUGUAUGUAUUCUUAACAAAUAAGAAGACAGAAGAAAAUCCAUCAGAGAAGCGAUCCAUCACAAGGUAAAAAAUUUAUUUCUGAAUUUCGGAUUUGAAUUUGAUUCAAAGUUAUUGUGCUGAAUCCCUCAAAUCUCUUGAUUAACCCACAGAAGAAUCGGUAAUUCUCGAGCUAGGGUUUUGAUGGAUGAAUUUGGAAAAUUUUAUUGUUUUGUAUCUGUUUCUUCUUCUUUUUUUUGUUUUAAAUUCAUCAAAAAUAGAAUAAAUUAAUUACAGAUUUUCGAGUUAAGGUUUCGAUGGAUUAAAUUGGGGAGUUUUUUUUCGGAGAUGAAUUGAAAUCAAGAAAACAAAUUUAGUUUCUUUGACCUUUAUAUAUUUGAGGUACUUCAAAAUUUAGUUUUUUCGGAGAUGAAUUUUGAGAAACAGUCUCUCUGCCCUUUCGGGUAGGGGCCAGACGCCACUUUGUGGGACUAUACUGGACAGUUAUUGUUGUUGUUGUUGUUCAAAAUUCUGUGUUUACGGUCUAUCAAGAAUUCCAACCAAGGGAACAUGAUUAUACUUAUCAGAAUAGAUGACCUGCUUCAUUUUUAGGCGUUCUGUAAUGGGAUGAUGCUCCUUGAAUUUUCAUGAAUUUUCUUACAGUCAUUUUCUUUUUUUGCCCUGUAAUCUAUUGCAUGUGUUUGUAGUCUUAAAAGUUGCUUUGGUAAUCUGACUAUAUAAUGAUUGAUACGUUAUAUUUGUCAUUUGAUUUAUCAAAAUACCUCACAUUACUUUUAGUUGGUUUCAGAGGGUUUCUUGGGGAAGUAAAUCUAGCUUAUGUUUUUCAGAAGCUUCUUUUUCCUUUCUUUGAAGUUCUGUCAUUUAUAUUUGCUGGAUGCAAAAUUUUUCAUCUUCAAGAUGCAAUUUGUAAUGUUUUCCCUUUCAAAUACUUUGCAAUAAAAGAUUCCUUUAUGUCAACCUUUGUGUUGGUAAGAGGUAGUAAGUGUCCGGUGUGAAUAGUCAGGGUGCGCGAAGCUAGCCUAGACAUCACCGUUAAAAGAGUAACUAAUAACAAUCAUGCAUUAUAAUUACAUAUAAGAAUUACCUAUGCAACUAUCAGCUACUGUAUAGCAUUCUCUGCUUCGUUUGUCCAUCUUCUUAUCAAUGACGUAAGGAGUGUGUGCCUAACACUUCAGGAAUUGAGGAGUUCUUUUGCAUUACAAUUGAAUUAAUGCGAUAGCCAGAUUACAUGGCAGCAUUGACUGAUUGGAAAAGUAAUUUUCAUAGUACACAUAUUUCUUUUAUUGUCCUUAGUAUCAAGUACCACAUGUUUAUACAUCCAAACAUAGUUGUCGACUUGCUGUAUAGAUAGAUAAUAGUUUAGACCUGCUAGAGUUGCUUAAUUCGUAAUUUGAGAAAUCUCAAGAAUAAAUAUUUUUAAUCUGUGCAAAAAAGGAAGAGAGAAAGACAUUGAGAUCUUUUUUUCUCAAGAGGGUGGCCAUGAGGAAGUUUCCAUUUCUCUAUAUUCACAUUUAGAAAAAAAUUACAUGCAGACUUGCAGAUUGAUUGAUAUUUUACAUCAAUGCCUUCCCAUUUAAGGUUAGAAAGAUCAAUAAGUGGUUUGUGCUUUGAUCUGAAUCUUGCUGCAUAUUCUAGGUUUUUCUUAUGUGGGCUUUUGCUAUCCAGUGUAGUCGAUGCAAAAUAUUUGAAAUGUAAAUUAACGGAAUUACCUUUGUAGCUUGACUUGGUAGCUAUCUAUCUUUGAGAUUUCCUCUGUAAUUUAGGGGUUUUACAUCUUUGAAUUUGGGACAGGUUUUCAUCUUUUUGGAUUGACAUAAAUUAAAGGAAGUAUAUUUGUCAUUUGCAUCUAUCUAUCUAUCUAUCUAUCUCUGAACUUACAUUUGGGGCAAGUUUAAUCUCUUUAGAUUAUGAAUAUGUAUGUUGUACAAGUCCAAAUGUCUAACAUUUCUUGGUACAGUCACAGGACCUGAAGCGGAAAGAAAUGACUAUGUGAGGAGUGUCAUACUUCCUUGGCCAAUCCAAAAUCCUAAUUAGGUGUAAUCUUAACUUACUGAUAAUUGGUAAAAGAAAGGAGCUUUUCCGUUUUUCUCCAUGUUGGGUUGAUGGUUAAGUUGAGUCUUUAGGUUGGAAUAGGCGAGGUGGUGUGGUGGGGCAGCAGCUGAUACUGAGAAAGAGAAGUUGAUGGUUAUGGUGGUCGUUGGCCAGAUCUGGGAAUGAGAGUAGGUGGUGGUGAAGAUGGCUUGGCAAGUAGAAGAAAAUAGGUUGAAAAUAAGCUGCAGAAAAUGUCGUCGUCCAAUUCCGGUGAAAACUAUGAAUAUUUCGGUGGAAAAUAUUCAAUGUUGGCUUUACGCGCUGAUAAGAUGUAACAUACACGGGUAUUUACAUGUCAGCAAAACGUGCUCAAUAACACAUUUUGGAGGGAGUUCAAGUGUUCAAUAAGAAUAACUUUCAUUUGAGCUGCCUAAGUGAAAAUUAGUAACAAGUUUAAGGAUUUGUCUAUACUUUUCUUUUUCCUUUCUUUGAAGUUCUGUCAUUUAUAUUUGCUAGAUGCAAAAUUUUUCAUUUUCAAGAUGCAAUUUGUAAUGUUUUCCCUUUCAAAUACUUUGCAAUAAAAGAUUCCUUUAUGUCAACAUUUGAGAUCGCCACUCAACGAUAAUAUUGAAACUGGAGUGGCCGUCACUGAAGGUUAUUUGUGGCAACAUUUGAGAUCGCCACUCAA